rnacentral:rRNA from 1 species
GAUGAACGCUGGCGGCGCGCUUAACACAUGCAAGUCGAACGGUGAAGCAGAGCUUGCUCUGUGGAUCAGUGGCGAACGGGUGAGUAACACGUGAGCAACCUGCCCCUGACUCUGGGAUAAGCGCUGGAAACGGCGUCUAAUACUGGAUAUGAGCUGCGACCGCAUGGUCAGCAGUUGGAAAGAUUUUUCGGUCUGGGAUGGGCUCACGGCCUAUCAGCUUGUUGGUGAGGUAAUGGCUCACCAAGGCGUCGACGGGUAGCCGGCCUGAGAGGGUGACCGGCCACACUGGGACUGAGACACGGCCCAGACUCCUACGGGAGGCAGCAGUGGGGAAUAUUGCACAAUGGGCGAAAGCCUGAUGCAGCAACGCCGCGUGAGGGAUGACGGCCUUCGGGUUGUAAACCUCUUUUAGCAGGGAAGAAGCGAAAGCGACGGUACCUGCAGAAAAAGCGCCGGCUAACUACGUG